GGGGCGGUGGCGGAAUGGCAGACGCUGCGGACUUAAACUCCGCUGGCCCGCAAAGGCCGUGUGGGUUCGACUCCCAUCCGCCCCA
rnacentral:tRNA from 1 species